rnacentral:lncRNA from 1 species
UUGUCCAAGAAAUUAAUAAGAUGAUGAUACAUAUUCUCAAGAGUUGAGAAUUUGAGCCAUGUAUCAUUAGUGAUUAAUUUCUAAAUGCUCCUGAUCAAUGGAUCAUCACGAGGACGGUGAUCGAUCCGAUUAGUGCACAGAUCACUUUCCUUCUGGAUGGAUGAGACUUGAGUCCACAGUGUAGGGACACUGAAGUGAUAGUGCAGGUGCUUGUUAGAGAACAAGGGUACUGAGCGUGACCAAGACAAGAAGUCACUUGGAUGUCUAUCCACUCGUCAGUGACUUGCUUGAUGUUGCAGUAGUGUGACUGGUCCUUUGACCUGCGGUGCUUCGGCUACUCACAGUGAGGUUAUUGUAGUUUGACUGCACACAUACAUAGUCUCUAGCCAUAUGGGUCCAUGCAGUGUAGAUUGGCUGCAGUAAGUUCACUGUAGGAGUAGGGU